rnacentral:rRNA from 1 species
GAUGAACGCUAGCUACAGGCUUAACACAUGCAAGUCGAGGGGAAACGACAUCGAAAGCUUGCUUUUGAUGGGCGUCGACCGGCGCACGGGUGAGUAACGCGUAUCCAACCUGCCCACCACUUGGGGAUAACCUUGCGAAAGUAAGACUAAUACCCAAUGACGUCUCUAGAAGACAUCUGAAAGAGAUUAAAGAUUUAUCGGUGAUGGAUGGGGAUGCGUCUGAUUAGCUUGUUGGCGGGGUAACGGCCCACCAAGGCGACGAUCAGUAGGGGUUCUGAGAGGAAGGUCCCCCACAGUGGAACUGAGACACGGUCCAAACUCAUACGGGAGGCAGCAGUGAGGAAUAUUGGUCAAUGGACGGGAGUCUGAACCAGCCAAGUAGCGUGCAGGAUGACGGCCCUAUGGGUUGUAAACUGCUUUUAUAAGGGAAUAAAGUGAGUCUCGUGAGACUUUUUGCAUGUACCUUAUGAAUAAGGACCGGCUAAUUCCGUG